UGAGUUCUCCCUGAGACUUUAGGUCUCCUGAAGGAACGUUGAAGACGACGACGUUGAUAGGCCGGGUGUGUAAGCGCAGCGAUGCGUUGAGCUAACCGGUACUAAUGAACCGUGAGGCUUAACCUUACAACGCCGAAG
rnacentral:rRNA from 10 species